rnacentral:lncRNA from 1 species
AGGACAUCGAGGGGAUGGGGACACUUCUGGACAUUUGGGGACAUUCAGGGACAUUUGGGGACAUCUGGGAACCCCAGGACAUCCGGGACAUGGGGACGUUUGGGGACAUCUGAGGACAUUUGGGGACAUCUGGGGCCUCUGGGUCUUGGGGAUAUGGGGACAUCAGGGACAUUUGGGGACAUUUUGGGGACAGCCCUCAGUUUGGGGA